GGAACUUCCGCCGCCGCGCCCGCCGCCGUAGCCGCCGCCGCCGCCGGAACUACCGGGAGUGAGGGUUAUGUUCGGUUAACUCUAACUUUGAAAAAUGUUACUCAAAUCAUGCUACCUCAACUCGAAGCUCUGGCUUAAAUGUCCUCUCCUUCAUGAGGUUUCUCACCAUUAACGGCCCGUGCCAAACACUGGACCUGAAUUUUUGUCUCAUCAAAUCCUGACAGCAAUUGUACGAGGUCAGCGUUGGUGUUUUCCGGGUGAUGCACCUUGUCAAGGCUCUGUGAUCUGGUGCUGGGACACUUUUGACUGACAAGGUGAAUGUCUUCUUUCAAUCCUGGAAGUGAUCACUGAAACCAUUUGAAUUUAACCUCCAAAGUCUCUGAAUGGGAAGCCAUAGGCCGAAUGGCCCUCUUCCUGCAAUUGGCCCUGUGCCUGGAUUAUUUCACCAAAGUUUGAUGUUAUACCAAGGACAGCUGAUUCACACCAACAUAGGGCCGUAUCAUUGGCAAAAUGGAGACACCAGACAGCACAAUUGGCCCUAGAAGCGAUGAUGAAUUAGUCACAGAUGAAAAUGGAAACCAAUUAUUCUGGCCUGUCACGCUCUUAUGAACCUGCUGCUGGUAUUAUAGAUACCAAGGGUUGAAAGCACAGUGUUUGGAGAUCUGGAUUAGAAUCCCGUCUCUGCCGCUUACUUGCUGUGUGAACAUGGGUGUGAUCAGAGGACCCAAGUAAGACAGACAUCUGGAAGCCUGUCACCUUCCUGCUCCAGGAGCUGACCUGAACAGCAAACCAUUCUUCCACAUCUCUGCGGUUGUUGGCGAGCACCAUUUCAUACUGACAGCGCAUCUCAUCCAGGACCCUGUUGAGGUCGACGGUGGGGGCAGUGUCCAGCUCCACGCUGAGUCGGUCACCCAGCUGUCCGCGAAGCAAGUUGACCUCCUGAAUGGGGGAAUGGAGUCAAGAGUGUGACAGGGCAAAGGAGAUCGUCCUUCAGAGACUCCACGUGGGCCUCCAGAUCGGCUUUGCACAGAGUCAACUCACCCAGGAUCCCACGCAGGCCGCCAAUGUCCGUCUCCAGCAGCUGGCGAAGAGACAGUUCAGACUCGUACCUUUCACGGCAAAAGAGAUACAGCCAAUGCUUACUUGGCUGGAGACAGUGCUGGGGAUGCUGGGGAGUGACAAGAGGACUCAAGGAAGCCACAUCCCAAAUAAUAAAUGUGAGUUUUGUGAGCAUUCUUAGCUUUAAAAAAGCUUAUAGAGAGAAUAUUUGUGGUGUGUGCACACGCACUUGUGUGUGUGAGACAGAGAGAGCGAGAGAGAGAGUGAGAGAGAGGCAGUCAUAAAUUAUUCUCAAGUUCAAAUUCAACUUACUUUGACCUGAAGUCAUCGGCAGCCAGUUUGCAGUUGUCAAGCUGAACAGCAAGUCUAGAAUUCUCUGCCUUUGUGCACAAGAUCUGGGAAGGAAGGUCGUUAUAUGUAAUAGAUGGCCCUUUGAAAGAAACCUAAAUAUCUAUUCAUUUAACAACUAUGCCAUUAUUUAUCUUUUAAAAGUCUUUAUAAGAAAGUAUAAAAUAGCUUUCAGCCUACUUCUCUUAUUAGCCAUGUCACUUCAUGACGAGACAAGCAGGACCAAUUUAUAAAAGAAAUAGAUAAAAAAGGUUAGUUUUUCAACGGCCUAAGACAUUUUGCAAUAUUCCUUGACAGUUGAACUCUGAUUUUUCUCCAUAAGUGGUUUGUAUUAUGACUCUAUCCCCACUCCAUGAAAAUAAAAAUUCAUCUGUAAGAAAAUGA